GCUGCUUGUUUUGGGAACCAAACAGGAACGAUGUGUAACGGGAAGACUGAAGACAGACCCAGGUGUGUGUGCGCACUGGCGUGUGUGCCGGGGCGACGGCCCAGCCGCUGAGGAAUAAGGAAAGAAAAGACGUGAGGCCCUCCGGCCUCUGCUCCGUCCUGGCCACACUCACCCCCUCACCCCAGGAACGGCACAGACAAGGAGACACGCACACACUUGCUCCGAGAGCUCCCUGGGGCCAGCCUCCCUGGAGGGGCAGACUCCGCCCCGUCCCCCUGCACCAGAGCUCACGGGGACCACUCGGGAAGCCCUGUGUCCUGGCCACAGUGUCACGGACAGUCUGAGAGCAGUCACCACCCGCCCCUGCCCCGCCCCAGGGGGACAGCUCCAAACCAGCUGAGUCCACCUACGAUGCAGCUUGAAACCGGAACAACGCUAAGGUCUUCGGCAAGCUCUUAGGCGGCAGGAACCGUCCUCGCGUCGAUCCAGCUGUACACCUGCCUCUUCCGGCUGUGGCCGUGCCGGCCGCGCCGGUGAGCCUGCAGGGACUGAGGACACGGGGACUCGGCCGCCAGUGCUCGCCUGUCUGCUUUGCCAGGGGCUUCCUGUCGGGCGGGGCCCCCCGAGCGGCUCCUAAACCCUACAGGCUCCCGCCAGAUCGCAACACCACUUUCAAAACAUUUUAAGAAACUCCACGGAUGGUUUUUAUUCUGACACUGCAGCCUUAAAGGAAGACUUCUCUGGGAUAUCACUGCUGUUCAUGACAGGUUAAGAAACAAAGAAAUGGUUUCAGUAUAACACUACCUACCCUGGACAUGCUUGGCUGCUCAGAAGAGGAGGUUUGGGGUAAUAAAGGGCUUGCAGGGGUGGAGAGCCAAGGGCCUGGGUGAGAAGUGCACCCAAGGAGAUAUUCCCGUGAGAGAGGACACCCUCCAUCUCCAGCCAAGGAACGUGCUGCCCCUGCGGUUCUGCUGUUUCUGUUCUGCUGGGUAAGUGGACGUGAGUUAAAAACCCCAGCUCAGUCACCUCCGAGGUGAGCCCGCUCCCUUCCUCAGAAACACGCUGGCCUGCGUGGCGUCCCGACUCCCACCACGACUUCCUCCAGACCCCUGGCUGGUGCGGCCCCCACCAAGGCACCCUGGCUGCUGCAGUCACAGCCCCUCCUCCCCAGGACAGAGAGGUCGGACGCCUGCCGAGGCUCCAUCACUGUCCGCAGCCACGGACGCGGUGCACAGGGCUGGGUGUCCUGGACACCCUGGCCCCUCAUGGGUGAAAGGAGAGGGAGGAGAACAUGCCAACCCUUCCCGCGCGGCCAGGGGCAGCUCCUUCAUCACCACUGGGUUCUGCGAAAACAAACACUAUCCCUGCGCCUUUCACGACCCGGGUCUCUGGGAAUGGGCGAACACAGCCCGCGCCGGCCAAGCUGCUGUCCCACCACCGGGCUCCAGGUGUCAGCGGUCAAAGUCCCGUGCUGGAUGGCAGGGGGGACCUGACCGUGGGGGGCCCGAGGCCGAGGCCAAAGAACACAGCUUUCUUGUUUCGACAUUUCUUUUCGUUGGGAAAAUAGUUUUGUCUUUGUGCCUCUUUUCCUCUUGACUUUCAUAAACGUGCCGCCCCGCCGGCGGCAGCGGCCUUGGGCGACUGCGCGGGCCUUUCAUGUUGGCCUCCGGAGCCCGUCCCGGAGCGGUACACGGCCAUGCUCUGAGUAGGGACCUCGGGGCAUUUAUCAAGUUUGCUCUGACAGGGCCGAGGAAGCCCUGGGAGACUGGAAACAGAACGUGGUUUUGUACCACACCGAGGGCACAGCCCAAACAGCAGGGCCAGGCUGCAGAGGCGUGGGGUCAGCGUGGACAGCCUUGCUGCGGGUCCCUGACCAGACGUGGCUGUGCCCCGCGGGGGCUGGGCCCUUGCUGGCCGCAGGCAUGUGGCUGCUCGGCCCUGGACCCUCCCCUGGAGCAGGCCUGGAGGCCUGGAGGUGACAGUGGGAGGCGCCCAUCGCCCAGGGGACCCCUGCUCCCCAGGCCCAGGGGCGGUCUGGGUGCAGAGGGUGUGGGUGACAUGGGACAUGUCCUCAGGGUCUGACGGCGCUGCAGAGGGAGGGGCCUGCCCGUCCACCAGCAGCCCCGUGACAACGUGUGCUCUGGGGACUGUCACAGAGGCGGCUGACUGGAGAGGUCUACCCUGCCCCCAUUUUCAGACCCAUCUCCCAGCAGCAGCAGUCGGGCCUCCCCAGCCCAGCCGGGCCCAGCCCAGCCCAGCGCACUGCGGCAGCGCCCUCUAUUGGAAAGCGCCCGACAGGACCACGCCCAGGCCCACAGGCUGGAGCCUGAGACCUCGGGCAGCACAGCCUCCUGCCCUGCUCUGGGCAGAGGAGGGUGUCCUGGUGACUGUGCACCUGGAGCGAAGCGUUUCCCUCCGAGAAUUCAGAACACAACCACCCUCACUGCCCCCAGACGCAAAGAGCCCCCCAGACCCCCUACUUGUCCCCCGAGCACGUCAGGAACAGAGAGAUGGGCAGCUCACUGAGGGCAUGUUGAGGUUCGCUGCCUGUGAGGAUGGAGCAGGGAGACUCAGGCCCGUCCGCAGACUGGCCAUCUGCGCAGCUCCCUAACUCAGCUUGCUUUACAGACGUCCUGAGAAGGACUGCGGUUAGAAGAUAAUGCAUGGGUUAACGGUCAUAUUUUAUUUUUGAGCAAAAAAAAAA